GGGUUAAGAAUCCAACCACAGUGGCUUGGUUACUUUUAAUCCUAGCCCAACACAGUGGGUUAAGGUAUCUGGCAUUGCUGCAGCUAUAGCAGUAGGCCACAGCUGUGGCUAGAAUACAGUCCCUGGCCCGGGUACUUUCAUAUGCCUCAGGUAUGGCAAUUUAAAAAAAAGAGACAAUAAAUAAAUAAAUAAAAUAAAAACUAAAAAAGAGAGACUUCUUCUCUUAGACUACUGAAUUGGAACUUGCCAUAUAUUUUAUUCAGAAAUAUUUUCUUUUUAAAAAAUACUUCAGAGAAGUACUCUUUUACUCCUCGCAUGGUAUUUCAGCCAUUAAUGGGCUUCAAAAAGCUACCCUGGAAUCAUUUGUUAUAUUAUUUCUAUGAAAAAUUGCAAUCUGAUUUCUAACUCAUUGACUUACAUAUGAACUUUAGGAACACAGUCCAUUAACAACAUGGAAAUUUUGCCUUUCUUCCCCAGAGCCCAGAGCCCCUGUGUUUGGAGUUGGCUGGACUGUGGAGACUUUGGAAAGGUCCUGCUGCCGGGAGUUAAGCACGAAAUCUUGGAACUGAAUUUUACAGAAUUACUUCUGAACCAGUAUGGAACAUUUUAUGAACCUACACAAAGCUUCUGAUUCCUGGAACGGCCUCGCUGUGGUGAUUUUCCUGCAUGGAUCUGGAGAUACAGAGCUUGGAUGGGCAAGAAGCCUUUGCAGGUAUCAGAAAUUCAUGUAUCAAAUAUAUCUACCUGCUUGCAUCAAUUAUGCCUGUUGCAUUAAAUGUGAGUGUGGUUAUGUCUCUCAGUUUGAUUUUAUUGGGCUUUCACCAUAUUCAAUGGAAUUAAACAGGCAGCAGAAAUUGUAAAAGCUUUGAUAGAGCAGAGGUGAAGAACAGUGUUCCUUUCAACAUUAUUAUUUUGGGAGGAUUUUUCCAGGAGGGAGCUUUAUCUUCGUACGCUGAUGUUACCGCACAGCAGAAACUGAAAGGCAUUGCUGCAUUCAGUGCUGGCUUGGAUUCCAUGGGGUCCUAUCGGUGGCACUAAAAGAGAUACUUCUAUUCUCUGGGGCCAUGGAGACUACUCCCCUUAAGUUGCCCUAAGGGUUGGUUCUCUUACUGUAGAAAAGCUAAAAACAUUGGUAAAUCCAGCCAGCGUGACCUUAAAAACCCAUGAAAGCAAGAUGCAUGGUUCAUGACACCAGGGCUGAUGGAUAUAGAGCACUUCCACAAAUAAUUCCUAAAUAAUGUCUCCUUGUGGGAAAUUUAUGAUGGUUUGUAUACAUGUAUACUCUGAUCCAGAGUAUACUAGUACCGAAGUAGGUGAAAAAAGCCAGCUUCUUUUUCCCACAUGUAAUUCAGCCAAACAAAAUAAUGCAAGCAGAUUUUUCAUGACAUCAUUUACAAAUUAUUAGCAUGCUUAAUGAAAACAUUGUUCAGAUAUAAAUGAACAGUUAAGAUAUAAACAACUUCUGCAUGUUCUGGCUUAGUCUAUGGCUUUAUUCCAAGAUUACCAAGUCACCAUGCAGUAUCUGUAUUUUUAUAUAUAUUCAUAUAUUUUUAAUAAUUGUCAUACAUAGUAAGAAUAAGGUGGGAUUACAUUAUUGCUAAUAGUAGAGAUAAUGCUUUUAAGGGUUAAUAAAGAGGAAUAUUGCUUUCUUCAAAAAAAAAUGUGAUGUAUAGAGAGCUCUAGGCAUUCUGUAGGGUCCCCUAGAGGAUGAGACUUUGGCAUAAACUUUUGCUUAAAGAAUAAAAUAAAGAUACAUCUCUUUAAAACAUUCUAAUGAAAUGAUUCAUUUACCCAUUUCACCUAUUACUAUAAUACUUAAAAACCAAUAACUUAUAGCUUGGUUCAUCAAAGAUUCCUUCAAGCCAGGUAAAGCCAAGAUAUGUCACCCCAAAAUAUGUAUUUUUGAAGACCAGAGGAAUCUGCAAACAAACCUCAUUCCAUUAGUUUCUUCCCAUGUAUUUAUCUUCCUACAGUUUGCUGUCCUUGGAAGCCAAAAACUGCUCUCCUUUGUCCUGUCAUUUCUUUACAAACAUUUUGUCCUUUAUUGAAGAUACUAUAUAAGACCUCAGUUCUAAGCUGAGGCUUUGAGCCACUCUUUGUUUUGGGUUUCUCCUGCUUGAUGUGCACUGCAGGGGUUCAUAAACGCUUUUUCUCUUAAUAUGUCUUUUUUUUUUUGGCCACCCCGUGGCAGAUGGAAUUCCCCAGGGCGGGGGAUCAGAUCCAAGCUGCAGUUGCAACCUACGCUGCAGCUGUGGCAAUGCCAUAUGCUUUAACCCACUGUGCAGGGCCUGGGAUUGAAUCUGUGUCCUGGUGCUUAAAAGACACGGCCAAUCAUGUUGUGCCAUAGUGGGACUCUAAUAUGUCAUCAUCUUAGAGCCUCAGCUGACAACUGAAGAUGGGUAGAAAGUUUUGCCUCCCUCAUUCAAGUUGUAUAUCCUCCCUGCAGUAUGCAGGAAAAAGUUAACUCUCUCCGUGGCUGGCAAUUACCCUGGGACUGGCCACCCCCAAGGAUUCAGCUACCUAUUGUUGAUUCUGAACUUUUAGGGUCAGCCUCCCUGGCAGAAUGUCUCCCCUCUAAUAUGUUGAACACUGGAAUUUUUAAAUAGAACCCCAAGAUCUAGGCAUUUUAAAAACUCUCAACUAAAAAAAAAAAAAAAAAAUUAGAACUUAUUUUACAUAGCAGUAAUUUUUUUUUUUAUCUUUUUAGGACAAUACCUGUGGCAUAUGGAAGUUCCCAGGCUAGGGGUCGACUUGGAGCUGUAGCUGCUGGCCUGCAUCACAGCCACAGCAACACCAGAUCCGAACCGCGUCUAUGAACUAUACCACAGCUCAUGGCAACGCCGGAUCCUUUAACUCAUUGAGUGAGGCCAGGGAUCAAACCUUCGUCCUCAUGGAUUCUAGCCAGAUUUGUUUCCACUGAGCCACGACUAGAACUCCCACAGUAAUGUGUUUUUGUGUGAAGAAACACAAAAGCACUUGCUUCAUGUCACAACCCACCCUAUAGCUAUAUCUUCUUUUCUACUGGAUGAUCUUUUUCCCAUGAAAGUUACAUUUGAAAUGUUACAUGUGUUAUUAGAUAGCUUCUAAAUUUUCUCUACUUGAAAACUCAGUGACAUUACAUAGGAAGGCUACAAUCAUAUUUAAAUAUGAUUAGAGUUCAUUGUACAUUAAACCUGGGCAAGAAAAAUCUGAUUUUGACUUAAUAUUCUUACUGUGUAACAGAAAGUACAGAUUCUAGUCCCUUAGUGAAUCACCCCCAUUCUUUAUCAAUUGUGUUGUAGACCUAAUGAAUGACUGUAGUUUCUCUUGAGGAAAAUUAUAGCAAAAGUGUUUUUUGAGUUUUUUUACAUGUUUUCUGUUUUUGUUUUUUGGGUUUUUUUUUUUGCAAUAAAACCUAAACUUACACACUUUUGAAAAGGAUUGAAAAAUUUAGUGUUCUAGCUAACAUUUACAGGGAAAGAUAAGUUUAUUCCAGUCCCCUUGGAACUGAAUAUGAAUAUAUAGUACCGCACCCCCAGCUAGGCCAGAUCCUAUCUUUCAAGAGGAUUGGAGAUCUUUUCAUGAGAAAAAGAAACACAUGGAAGAGAGAUGUGAAUUUUACCUGCACUGGCAAAAUCUUAUAAUCCUUCUGGAAUGAUGCUGAGGGGGAAAGGCCACACACUCUUUUGGGACUACUCCCUAUAUUUACAUCAGCUUUUCUUUCUCCUAGUAUUAUAAGACAGCAAUAGGAAUAGAUCAAUAAUAUGUAUAAAUCGAUGUAAUAAGAGCUGUAUUAAAUAAAGUUCUGUUGUACUAACAUUUUUGUUUCUUCUUCAGCAUCGUGCAUUUUAUCUCCAGGCCUGUUGUUAAACUGGUUUUGUCUUGGAUAAAACACUCUAAUUGUAAUGUGCCUCAGUUAAUUCAAGAGAGUGAGUUUUGUAAAGUAUCCCUUCCUCUCAGAUAUCCUUGGGUUAAUUAUUUAUGGCUUAUAGAAUUCACAGUGAAAAGUGGUACUUAAAUGCAAGAAAUCUUUAAAGAACUCUGUGAUGCAAAUACAAUAAACCUUUGUAUUAAUAGCUUAAUACAAUAUAUAAAAACAACAGAUUCUAGAUAAUUUAAAGUCCAGGACUGAAAAGCUCCUGGAUAUAAGUAUUGCCAAAAAGCAAUACUGUAACAAAUCUUUCUGAUAAGGAAAAAAGACAUAAUUAGAAAUAAAACCCUGUGGAUAAAAGUAAAUAAAUAAAAUACUGUGGCUGAAUGUGUCAACACACUCAAAACAUUCUAUGCUUAUGCACAGAUAAAAUCAAAUAACCCCAAAUGCUAUCUUUUGUAAUAUUAUUGGGUAGGAACAGGGCAGAAACUCUCGAUCCUAUGGACUGAAAAAGAAAUUGGAGCACAGAAAGCUUUUAGUGUUUGUUGUGCCAGACACUGCUUUUGGCUGUGAUCUGACUACUCCAACAUGCCUUGAUAAUUCAAGUAUAAAGAAUAACAAUAGAAUUCCAGCGCUGGGAGAUUAUUUAUUCUGACCUUCUGUUUUAUCUAAGAAGAAACCAAAGCCCUUAAAGAUUGAGUUACCCCUCAUGAAUCAGAGAGGUUCUUAAACAUCCUGGCUUCUGGAACUCUCCGGAACAAUAUAUACAAGAUAAAUGGGACAGUUCAUUGGCUCCUAACACUUGCACCUUGUCUUUUCUUCUAAUGGCAUUAAAAUAAAAGCCCAGGGAUGUUCCACAGAGACUCUGGUGGUUUCGGGGCCCGCACUCUCCACCCUUCCCUUUCUCCCAGUUCUACCAGAGCCUGGGCUUUCUGGGUCAAGGUUGGUUUCCAACAGCCCCCGGGCCUGGCUGGCAUCCAGAAUUGUGGAUGGAGUGUUUCGGAGAGCCUAUAGGAAGAGAGAAGUGAAGUCUGGUUUUCAUCAAACAGCUGAGGCCUCCCGCAGACUGCCCCAAGUGCCCCUUGGUGCCUGAGCAGCUGUCCUCUCCGCCCGAAGCACUCGCUUCCCACGCUCUCUCCACCUCCCCGCGGGUGCGGCUGCGGGGCCAUCCUGGCCAAGGGUGAUGGUGCCCGCGGGUCGGGCGGGGGGACAUGACCUUGCUCCCUACUUGGUUCUCUGAACCAAGGAGAGCACUGUGUGCACAACGCCGUGCCACGUUCCACGCAGGGAUGGGCUGGGACAGUUGUGGCUGGAAAGCGAUGGCGAGCAGGGACCCUAGGCAUGAAAGGGAGCGGCGCCGCCAGGGCCUCGCGCUUCCUCCUCCUCCUCCUCGCUCGCCGC
ensembl:lncRNA